AGUUCUCGUUGAUGAUCGGUGCUUGCACCGAGAUUCAACAUGGGAACGAGUGGCGGACGGGUGAGUAACACGUGGGUAACCUGCCCUUAAGUGGGGGAUAACAUUUGGAAACAGAUGCUAAUACCGCAUAGAUCCAAGAACCGCAUGGUUCUUGGCUGAAAGAUGGCGUAAGCUAUCGCUUUUGGAUGGACCCGCGGCGUAUUAGCUAGUUGGUGAGGUAAUGGCUCACCAAGGCGAUGAUACGUAGCCGAACUGAGAGGUUGAUCGGCCACAUUGGGACUGAGACACGGCCCAAACUCCUACGGGAGGCAGCAGUAGGGAAUCUUCCACAAUGGACGCAAGUCUGAUGGAGCAACGCCGCGUGAGUGAAGAAGGCUUUCGGGUCGUAAAACUCUGUUGUUGGAGAAGAAUGGUCGGCAGAGUAACUGUUGUCGGCGUGACGGUAUCCAACCAGAAAGCCACGGCUAACUACGUGCCAGCAGCCGCGGUAAUACGUAGGUGGCAAGCGUUAUCCGGAUUUAUUGGGCGUAAAGCGAGCGCAGGCGGUUUUUUAAGUCUGAUGUGAAAGCCCUCGGCUUAACCGAGGAAGCGCAUCGGAAACUGGGAAACUUGCGUGCAGAAGAGGACAGUGGAACUCCAUGUGUAGCGGUGAAAUGCGUAGAUAUAUGGAAGAACACCAGUGGCGAAGGCGGCUGUCUGGUCUGUAACUGACGCUGAGGCUCGAAAGCAUGGGUAGCGAACAGGAUUAGAUACCCUGGUAGUCCAUGCCGUAAACGAUGAAUGCUAGGUGUUGGAGGGUUUCCGCCCUUCAGUGCCGCAGCUAACGCAUUAAGCAUUCCGCCUGGGGAGUACGACC
rnacentral:rRNA from 1 species